GCAGUUGGACGGUCUGUCGCCGGCUCCUUUCGAGGGGCUGGAGGAAAGUCCGGGCAACGCAGAGCGUUCCACUUCUUAACGGAAGUUGUCGGCGACGGCAGGGUAACGCAGAAGAAAACAACCGCCGGUGCGACGUUGCGGGCCCCCGUUUCAAGUAAUGUCCAUCGGUAAGGGUGAGAAGGUGGGGUAAGAGCCCACCGGGCGACGCGGUGACGCGCCGUGCCGUGCGUCCUGGAAGUUGCAAGUUCAUGUAAACCGGCGUCAGAGGGCUGCUCGUCCGAGCCGGAGGGUAGAACGCGUCAGAUAAAUGACAGACACCUCGCCUGCGCGGGGCACAGAACCUGGCUUACAGACCAACUGCCGUU
rnacentral:RNase_P_RNA from 1 species